rnacentral:tRNA from 1 species
GCAGCCGUAGUACAUCGGUAGUAUAUGAGCUUCCCAAGCUUAGGAGGCGGGUUCGAUUCCCGUCGGCUGCU